rnacentral:sRNA from 1 species
UGACGCCGCAGAAGGGAAGCAGCCUGGACAACAGCCUGCACAAGGACCUGCUGGGCGCCAUCUCCGGCAUUGCUUCUCCAUAUACAACCUCAACUCCAAACAUCAACAGUGUGAGAAAUGCUGAUUCGAGAGGAUCUCUCAUAAGCACAGAUUCGGGUAACAGCCUUCCAGAAAGGAAUAGUGAGAAGAGCAAUUCCCUGGAUAAGCACCAACAAAGUAGCACAUUGGGAAAUUCCGUGGUUCGCUGUGAUAAACUUGACCAGUCUGAGAUUAAGAGCCUACUGAUGUGUUUCCUCUACAUCUUAAAGAGCAUGUCUGAUGAUGCUUUGUUUACAUAUUGGAACAAGGCUUCAACAUCUGAACUUAUGGAUUUUUUUACAAUAUCUGAAGUCUGCCUGCACCAGUUCCAAUACAUGGGGAAGCGAUACAUAGCCAGUUUAACAAAGUGUGUGGCUCUUCUCCUUCCUGCUUGGGAACCAGGAGGGGUUGGGACCCAUAGUUCAUGAUCGAAAGUCUCAGACAUUGCCUGUUUCCCGUAACAGAACAGGAAUGAUGCAUGCCAGAUUGCAGCAGCUGGGCAGCCUGG